GUGAAAUUAAGCAUAAAGCAAGACUUUUUUUCAGGAACAAGGAAAAUUGAGGUGAAAGAAGCUGAAGUGAAAGAGCAGCUCUGAUUCAUUCACUGAAGUGAAUGAGGCAUGUGAAGAGAAUUCUACUGAAGGUGUUGUGCACUAGUGUCCUUGAGCAGAGCAGAGAUAAGCCUCCGACAAACGAAUGCUGCCGUCAGGCUGGGAGGUGUCCUGACAACUCCUGUCCCAGUGCUGAGACACAAGCAAGGUCAG
rnacentral:lncRNA from 1 species